AGGAAUAUUGGUCAAUGGACGAGAGUCUGAACCAGCCAAGUAGCGUGAAGGAUGACUGCCCUAUGGGUUGUAAACUUCUUUUAUACGGGAAUAAAGUGAGGCACGUGUGCCUUUUUGUAUGUACCGUAUGAAUAAGGAUCGGCUAACUCCGUGCCAGCAGCCGCGGUAAUACGGAGGAUCCGAGCGUUAUCCGGAUUUAUUGGGUUUAAAGGGAGCGUAGGCGGACGCUUAAGUCAGUUGUGAAAGUUUGCGGCUCAACCGUAAAAUUGCAGUUGAUACUGGGUGUCUUGAGUACAGUAGAGGCAGGCGGAAUUCGUGGUGUAGCGGUGAAAUGCUUAGAUAUCACGAAGAACUCCGAUUGCGAAGGCAGCUUGCUGGACUGUAACUGACGCUGAUGCUCGAAAGUGUGGGUAUCAAACAGGAUUAGAUACCCUGGUAGUCCACACAGUAAACGAUGAAUACUCGCUGUUUGCGAUAUACAGUAAGCGGCCAAGCGAAAGCGCUAAGUAUUCCACCUGGGGAGUACGCCGGCAACGGUGAAACUCAAAGGAAUUGACGGGGGCCCGCACAAGCGGAGGAACAUGUGGUUUAAUUCGAUGAUACGCGAGGAACCUUACCCGGGCUUGAAUUGCAACUGAAUGAUGUGGAGACAUGUCAGCCGCAAGGCAGUUGUGAAGGUGCUGCAUGGUUGUCGUCAGCUCGUGCCGUGAGGUGUCGGCUUAAGUGCCAUAACGAGCGCAACCCUUAUCGAUAGUUACCAUCAGGUUAUGCUGGGGACUCUGUCGAGACUGCCGUCGUAAGAUGUGAGGAAGGUGGGGAUGACGUCAAAUCAGCACGGCCCUUACGUCCGGGGCUACACACGUGUUACAAUGGGGGGUACAGAAGGCAGCUACACGGCGACGUGAUGCUAAUCCCUAAAGCCUCUCUCAGUUCGGAUUGGAGUCUGCAACCCGACUCCAUGAAGCUGGAUUCGCUAGUAAUCGCGCAUCAGCCACGGCGCGGUGAAUACGUUCCCG
rnacentral:rRNA from 1 species